GCUUUGUGUGCAGUCCCGCGGCGCGGCGGCCGGGCCGGGGCUCCACCUGCGGACCGCCACCCCGCGCUCCACGCGCCACCCGCCCGCAUGAGGACGAGAGGCCGGUAGAGGAGCGCCGGAGAAAGUUGUGCCCACCAUGGACUUCCCCCCUGUGCAGCCCAAGCCGCCCUCGGGCCUGGGCCUGGGCAGUUCGGACGCCAAGAUCGCUUACCCCCCGGGGGUCAAGGAGAUCACCGACAAGAUCACCAACGACGAGGUGGUCAAACGGCUCAAGAUGGUAGUAAAAACUUUUAUGGACAUGGAUCAGGACUCAGAAGAUGAAAAGCAGCAGUAUCUUCCUCUAGCCUUGCAUCUUGCAUCUGAAUUCUUCCUCAGGAAUCCCAACAAAGAUGUACGUCUUCUUGUAGCAUGUUGUUUGGCUGAUAUUUUCCGAAUCUAUGCUCCAGAAGCACCAUAUACUUCCCAUGACAAACUCAAGGACAUAUUUUUAUUCAUUACAAGACAGUUAAAAGGUUUGGAAGAUACUAAGAGUCCACAGUUUAAUAGAUAUUUUUACUUAUUAGAGAAUUUAGCUUGGGUUAAAUCCUAUAACAUCUGCUUUGAAUUGGAAGAUUGCAAUGAAAUUUUUAUUCAACUUUUUAGAACUCUCUUCUCAGUGAUCAACAAUAGCCACAAUAAAAAGGUACAAAUGCAUAUGUUGGACUUGAUGAGUUCUAUCAUCAUGGAAGGUGAUGGAGUAACCCAAGAAUUAUUGGAUUCUAUUCUUAUUAACCUCAUUCCUGCACAUAAGAACUUAAAUAAGCAAGCAUUUGAUCUUGCAAAAGUCUUACUGAAAAGAACAGUCCAAAUCAUUGAGGCAUCCAUUGCCAAUUUUUUCAACCAAGUUUUGGUGUUGGGAAGGUCUUCAGUAAGUGAUUUAUCAGAACAUGUAUUUGAUCUGAUACAGGAACUUUUUGCCAUAGAUCCUCAUUUAUUGCUCUCUGUUAUGCCACAACUUGAAUUCAAACUUAAGAGCAAUGAUGGAGAAGAGCGUUUAGCUGUGGUUCGAUUGCUAGCUAAAUUGUUUGGUUCUAAAGAUUCUGAUUUGGCAACACAGAAUCGACCCCUUUGGCAGUGCUUUCUUGGAAGAUUUAAUGACAUUCAUGUUCCAGUGAGGUUAGAAAGUGUGAAAUUUGCCAGUCAUUGUUUAAUGAAUCACCCAGACUUAGCAAAGGACCUUACAGAAUACUUGAAGGUUAGGUCUCAUGAUCCAGAAGAAGCUAUUCGUCAUGACGUCAUUGUUACCAUAAUAACAGCUGGCAAAAGAGACCUUUCUUUAGUCAAUGAUCAAUUACUUGGCUUUGUGAGAGAGAGAACAUUGGACAAACGGUGGAGAGUUCGAAAAGAAGCUAUGAUGGGCCUUGCCCAACUUUAUAAGAAAUAUUGUCUUCAUGCAGAAGCUGGAAGGGAAGCUGCUGAGAAAGUGAGCUGGAUAAAGGAUAAACUUUUGCACAUAUAUUAUCAAAAUAGCAUUGAUGACAAAUUGUUGGUAGAGAAAAUCUUUGCUCAGUACCUUGUCCCUCACAAUCUUGAAACAGAAGAAAGAAUGAAAUGUUUAUAUUAUUUGUAUGCCAGCUUGGAUCCAAAUGCUGUAAAGGCACUCAAUGAAAUGUGGAAGUGCCAGAAUCUACUCAGGAGUCAUGUGCGGGAGUUACUGGAUUUGCACAAACAGCCUGCUUCAGAAGCUAAUAGUUCUGCCAUGUUUGGAAAGCUGAUGACCAUAGCAAAGAACUUGCCUGACCCUGGAAAAGCACAAGAUUUUGUGAAAAAGUUCAAUCAGGUCCUUGGCGAUGAUGAAAAACUUCGGUCUCAAUUAGAGUUACUUAUCAGCCCUACGUGUUCGUGCAAACAGGCAGAUGUCUGUGUGAGAGAAAUAGCCAGGAAACUUGCAAACCCCAAGCAGCCAACUAAUCCUUUCCUUGAGAUGGUCAAAUUUCUUUUGGAAAGAAUUGCACCUGUGCAUAUUGACUCAGAAGCCAUCAGUGCACUAGUGAAGCUGAUGAACAAGUCAAUAGAGGGGACUGCUGAUGAUGAAGAGGAGGGUGUGAGUCCAGAUACAGCCAUUCGUGCAGGACUUGAAUUACUUAAGGUUCUGUCUUUCACACAUCCUACCUCGUUUCACUCAGCAGAGACUUAUGAGUCGCUGCUGCAGUGCCUCAGAAUGGAAGAUGAUAAAGUAGCAGAAGCUGCCAUACAGAUUUUUAGGAAUACAGGACACAAAAUAGAAACAGAUCUUCCACAAAUAAGAUCCACCUUAAUUCCCAUCUUACAUCAAAAAGCAAAGAGAGGUACACCCCACCAAGCAAAACAGGCUGUCCAUUGUAUCCAUGCCAUAUUCACAAAUAAAGAAGUACAGCUUGCGCAGAUUUUUGAGCCUCUCAGUAGGAGUCUGAAUGCUGAUGUUCCAGAGCAGCUUAUAACACCAUUAGUUUCCUUGGGCCAUAUUUCCAUGUUAGCCCCAGAUCAAUUUGCUUCCCCAAUGAAAUCUGUAGUAGCAAAUUUUAUUGUGAAAGACCUUUUAAUGAAUGACAGGUAUCUACAGUCAACAGGUGAGAAGAAUGGAAAAUUAUGGUCUCCAGAUGAAGAAGUUUCCCCAGAAGUACUAGCCAAAGUUCAAGCAAUUAAACUUCUGGUACGAUGGCUAUUAGGAAUGAAAAACAACCAGUCUAAGUCUGCCAAUUCCACUCUUCGGUUAUUAUCAGCAAUGUUGGUUAGUGAGGGUGACCUCACAGAACAAAAAAGAAUCAGUAAAUCUGAUAUGUCUCGUUUGCGACUGGCUGCUGGUAGUGCCAUAAUGAAGCUUGCUCAGGAGCCUUGUUACCAUGAAAUUAUUACACCAGAACAGUUCCAGCUCUGUGCACUUGUUAUUAAUGAUGAGUGCUACCAAGUAAGACAGAUAUUUGCUCAAAAGCUGCACAAGGCUCUUGUGAAGUUACUGCUCCCAUUGGAGUACAUGGCAAUCUUUGCCCUGUGUGCCAAAGAUCCUGUGAAAGAGAGAAGAGCCCAUGCCCGACAAUGUUUGCUAAAGAACAUCAGCAUACGAAGGGAGUAUAUUAAGCAGAACCCCAUGGCUACUGAAAAGCUCUUAUCCCUGCUGCCUGAAUAUGUAGUUCCGUAUAUGAUUCACUUGCUGGCUCAUGACCCAGAUUUUACAAAACCUCAAGAUGUUGAUCAACUUCGUGAUAUCAAAGAGUGCCUGUGGUUCAUGCUUGAAGUUUUAAUGACAAAGAAUGAGAAUAACAGCCACGCCUUUAUGAAGAAGAUGGCAGAAAAUAUCAAGUUAACCAGAGAUGCCCAGUCUCCUGAUGAGCCUAAGACUAAUGAAAAACUUUACACAGUAUGUGAUGUUGCUCUUUGUGUUAUAAAUAGCAAAAGUGCUUUAUGCAAUGCAGAUUCACCAAAGGACCCAGUCCUCCCAACCAAAUUUUUCACUCAACCUGAAAAGGAUUUCUGUAAUGACAGGAGUUAUAUUUCUGAAGAGACAAGAGUUCUCCUAUUAACAGGAAAGCCAAAACCUGCUGGAGUACUAGGUGCAGUAAACAAGCCUUUAUCAGCAACAGGAAGAAAACCCUAUGUCAGAAGCACAGGCACAGAACCUGGAAGCAAUGUUAAUGUAAACUCAGAGCUGAACCCUUCAACAGGAAAUCGAUCAAGGGAACCAAAUUCAGAAACUUCAGAAACUGGAGUGAGUGAAAAUGAAGAAAAUCCUGUCAGAAUCAUCUCUGUCAUACCAGGAAAGGCUGAGCCUGUAAAGAACAAGGAGAUCAACUCCGACCAGGCCGCUCCGGGCAACCUCAGUGCCGACCGAGGGAAGAAGAGGCCAGCCACCGCCUCCGGGGCAGAGAACAUCCAACAGAAAGCCGAGGAGAAGAAGGCCGACGAGACGGGACCCCCCGUGCCUCCCAAGGCCCGACGAGGCCGUCGGCCCAAGUCCGAGUCUCAGGGCAGCGCCACCAAGAGCGACGAAGCAAACAAGGCGGCUGGGAGGGGCAGAAAGAGGGCCGCGGGAGGGCAAGAGAGCCCGGGGGGGCUGGAGGCGGGCAGCGCCAAAGCCCCCAAACUCCAGGACCUAGCCAAAAAAGCAGCACCAGCAGAGAGGCAGAUUGAUUUGCAAAGGUAAAAUAAAGUAACUUCUCUCCACACCUUGAAUUGCCAAAGCAUUCUUACAAAUUUCUAAGUUGUUAGCACAUGGGAAUCAAGCUGUCCUUUGGUAGAAGAAACAGAAAAGGGAAGAACUCAGAAAACAGCGGCUAGCCCAAAGGCUUUUCUCUGUUGCGUUUUCAUCCCAUUAAUUCAGAUUUUAAGGUUUUGAUUCUCAGAUGUCGAUCAACAAACAAGCAAGCAUUUAGUUACUGUUGUGGGCCGGCCCGACGUCGGCAUCAGACACCUGAAAAGGAACCGCUUCUCUCUCGGGCUGAUCUCAGUGUGGCCGCCGCAUGAGAUCGUCAUGGCUCUUAGUUGGGUUCACUCCUGACUUGAACUUUUUAAUUCCUUUGAUUUUUCAGAGACAAGGCUCUACAAAAUGUAUAUAUUAUUGCAAUAUUGAGAUUUCACGCUAUGGCAGAAUAUGCCCAAUUUUGUAUUCACCUGGGACUUUGUUAAUUUGCCCUCUCUAUUGCGACUUCAUUUUGAGGCUUAGAAUGUUCAAUCGAUCCAAGAUAAAUGCCAACCAGGGGACUAAGUCAGAGGUUAUGCUGCUUGUUUGACAGCCAAGAUCAAUACAAAGUUUCCCUGAACAGCAGUUCAUGGCACAGUUCAUACCUUCUGCAGCAUUUGUAGAUUCUCUUAGAAUAGUGGGAUUGAGAGAUUUUAAAGUAAGUAGACGUGAAAAUGUUUGUAAGAAGGAUUCCACUUUAAUGAUUUUAACAGUAUCAAAUUUAAUUAUUGACACAUUGAACUCUCUCAGUAGCUAUUGGGCAAGGACUGAUGUUAGUGCUGUGUGUAAGAGACCGAGGGCUGGGCCAGAACGGGGCAGGAUUGGGCAGCUGGAGGGUGGGUUUCAGAGCGCCCAGGGCAGUGAUGCGGAUUCAGGUGGGUAGAGGGAUGGCGAGCUGAGCUGGAGGAGGAGAGGGUGCUGACCUGGGGCGGGGAGGGGUUUAGGGGGGGAAAGCACAGUUUGCCAGUUGCUCUUCUCAGCUCCUUAUUAGCGCUAGUGCUUUCCUGCUCAUGAAGGUUCCUUUGGUCUCAGCCCCUAGGGGGAACUUCCCCUGCCCCCCUUGAUUGAGGCACCUCCCCCCCCUCCUAUCCUGCCCACAGAUGCCCCCAAGCCUCACUUCCCCUCCUUCACUUCAUGGCCAACACUGCUCAGCCUCAGAGGCCUCGGCUUCCUGUGUCUCAGACAUUGGGGAUCCCCUCCCCUCCCUCAUGACCUCUGCCCUUUGUGCCCUCUCCUCUUCCUUCAUCCUCCUUCACGUGUGAGUUCCUCGGCUCUGAAUGCUCUGUCACUGGCUCUGGUCCAGCAUCCGCAGAUUGGCCUUUCCCGGUCCAGUCCUGUUGAGCUCUGUUUUCCCCUUUCCUUUGGAGAAGCGCCCCCCAACUGCCUCGGCCUGGAAACCUCAGGGGCACCCAGGGAUUGCCCCGACUCCCACCUCCACAGCUGAGCGGCUUAAGUUCACCUUGGCUGCGCUUCUGGAAUGUGCCGCCUUCUCUCUGCCCCGGCUAUGCCCUCUUGGCAUCCGCCUCCCCUUCAUGCCAUCCUCGGCCAGGCCUCAAACGCGGGUCUUCCUGUGUCACCCCCUACCCAGUAACCUCCAAGGGAACCCUCCUCUUCCUCCUCCUCCCUUUGUCGUCAUAGACCUUCCUCCAUGCCCGGCCCUCCUCAAGCGAGGGACACGGCGGCCUUCUGGUGGGCCCCAGGCUGGCUGGGGACGUUCUCUCUGGCCGGGCCCCUUCUCUGAGCACUGACCUUCCUGGCUUCCUUUUCAACCCCAAGCAGAAAGCCCUCUCUCCCAGGGAGCCCUCCCCACCCCGUCACUUCUGAUGCCUUCUUUCUGUGAGGCAGGCCCAAUUUCUGUCGUGAGCUUGUUGGUACAUACUUGUUUAUGUAUUGUUCCCCCAUUAGAUUGUGAGCUACUUGAGGGCAAGAACCUUCUUUGGCCUCUUUUUCCAUAUCUCUGGCACUUAGCACAGGAUCUGGCACAUAGUAAAAAGAAACUCAUUCAAAAAGGGAGGAGAUGACGGCCAAAUAAAGACAGGCUCAAGCUUCUACAAAGACUAGAAUUCAAAAAGUAGCUGGACAGAAAGUGAGAUGACUUCAAAACACCUAAUUUCUGCCUUGAAAACUGAAAAACUCCUAACUUCCCUUUCAUAUGACACCAGUCCUUGAAUGGAAAUGUAAAGCAGAAACUCGUAAGAGAGGCUAAAAGCAACUGUACUUAUUUUCCCCUGAGACUUUUUUUUAUGAAAAGUCAAUAAUUAAGCAAAUUGCUUAACACUUGGUUCCAGUUCCUGCAUAUCUGGAGUUUAAAGUGCAUCACAACGUUCUUUUCCAUGCUGCAUUUUUUUUUUUUUUAAAGAAAGUCACAGGAUGUCCUUACACUGACACAGAAAAUUCAUAAUUCUAGAGCCAGGAAUGCCCAUGUUACACAAGAAAAAUAGAAGCCUACUGAAUUAAUUUUAAGGAGAAAAAGUGAUCGGAACAAGUACUUCUUGGCUUUUUCCUUUUGAAGACUUUAAUGUAUAAUUCUUCCCGCCUGCCUACUUUUCUGCAAAACUAAGAUGUACAGAUUUCAUUUCCCUGCUAUGAAAAGUCAUGUGGUGGCAAUUUUAUAAAUGUUGCUUUCUGAUUUUUAUCAGAGUGAGAAAAUAAUUGAAAUUAUUGAUUUGGAAGUAAACAUUUCAUUUUUUUAAUUUCCCCCCCACUUUAGUUUAAUAUAAUUUGCAAUAAAUGUACAUAUGGUUGUUUGUUUUAUAAAGUAUAUCACUUUAAAAGGUCUUUACUCCAAUGGUCAUUAUGUUGGAAUAUUGGAAAUUUUAAAGGAGUAAAGGCAUUUUCAGGAUUUGGUUUUGUAAUGUGAUCACCAGAUUUUUAUUAUUGAUGUAAAAAAGUUCAAUUUUCUAAAAUAGCUGGACAUUGGCAGCUUCAAGAGGAAAGUUGGAAAUGUUUAGAAUUGCAUUCAAUUUUAAGCAUUGCGAUAAAUGAAAGAAUGUCUGUUUUGCAUUUGUUUCCCCGUAUGAAUUCAUUUCUUUUUAAUUUUAGAAGAAGACUUUUGCACCAAUAUGUUUCCUGGCAUUGUUCAGCAAGGGUAAAAGUGUACGCUUUGAGUACACGUGAUCAUAUUUAAGUUGGUUGCAUAAAAUAAAUGCUUCUAGGUGUCAUGUGAUAGUCCUUGCUUUUUAAUCGGUCAGUAUGUUCUCUCGUCUUGAACCGAGCAGAGGCUCAGAGGAUUCAGAGUGAGACGGCAGGAGUACAGCCAACUCUGUUAUCCGUGGUAAUUGGAGGGUCAGGGGGGUCAGUAAGAGAGGCAGCAUCCCUUCGAGGGCCAAGGAGCUUCAGGGAAGAGCUUCCCCUGCCCAGAGCUCUCCACUCCUCCCCCGCUCCUCCCUGUGGCAGUCGGGAAGCACUUGGCAGGGGCCUCAGCCGAACUGGAUUAUUUCAGUGUAUUUGUACCAUGUGCCCGGGUGCACUUGGUGAAGAGGCAGAAAUUAAACAAGUGAUGUUUUAACAGAAUUACUGCCUAUUUUGCUCAAUCAUAAUUAGUAAAAAUUUGAAAGCAAGAUUAACAUUAGACAAGCAUCCAUGCCCACCAGCCCCCCCCCAGGAUAAUCCAGAGUUGGCUGUAUAUUAAUAAUGUAUAUAGAAGAUAGAGGGAAAUUAUUCAAUUGUUUAUACUAAUUAUAGAAAAAUAUGAUUCUGGAAAAUGUAAAAUUGGCCCUACCACUUUUGACUGCCUUCUCUAUCAUUGCCUUGUAAACAAAUCAGAAAUGAUAAAAGCUCAGACCUAGACCCUGUGGGACAGAAGGAAAAAAAAAAAACUAUGCAUAAAGUAUAUGACAGAUAGUGACUCUAGGCAACUUAUGAAAAAUGGGCACAUCCUAAUCAGGAAGUUUUUCAGGUUCUCUUAGUAUGAUUAGAUAAAUUAAUUUCAGUUCCCUCAAACCCUUUAGGAGAGGGUGAGAACCUUUUUCCCUGGAACGCUUCCUCUUUCUUUGGAACUCAGCUCUAACCAUUGAAGAUAAUGGGAAACCAUGGCCAAAAAUGUUGGGGAGAGGAAAUUGCUCAUUGAUUUAAUGCAAUAUGAAUUCUUGUGGGAAGAAAAGGCGAGUGAGUAGAGCUCUCUCCUAUAGAUUGAAUAGGAAGCACUAGCAGAACUAUGCACCUGAUUUAAUUAUGAGAUCGAAACAGAAAAGGAAAAUGGGAGAUUGAAAAGCUCUUCUGAUUGGGAAAAUGCAUAUUUGAACAAAAAUUUUGAUUUCAUUUGAAACAAUUAAAAGAUACUUCCUCUUAAAUUGUUGUUCAUAUCUCAAAGCUAAACAAAAGGAAAACAUCCAGAUUUGCAGUUAAAUGCUAAUGUUAACCCUUUGUUUAAGGAUUCUUGUAAUUUGUCUAAUAAUACAACCAGAAUUUUAUACUCUUUGAUACAAAGCGUGUAUAGUAGUUUUACAUAUUCUUGUGCUGCACAUGGGCUGGGUUUUUAGAAUUUUCUUUUUAAGAAUGAAGCAGAACAUUGUAAUUUGUGUAAAUGCAGAGUGUAAUAUCUACCAUGAAACACUAAAAACAUGGAUUGUUUCGAAUAAAACCAAGAAACGCA